rnacentral:rRNA from 1 species
CCUACGGGAGGCUGCAGUGGGGGAUAUUGCACAAUGGGGGAAACCCUGAUGCAGCGACGCCGCGUGAGUGAAGAAGUAUUUCGGUACGUAAAGCUCUAUCAGCAGGGAAGAAAAAAAGGCCUUUGGACUAUGGACGGUAGCGGACCAAGAAGCCACGGCCAACGACGUGCCAGCAGCCGCGGGAAUACGUAGGGGACAAGCGUUCUCCGGAUGGACUGGGUGGACAGGGAGCGGAGACGGCAGCGCAAGUCUGGAGUGAAAGGCCGGGGCCCAACCCCGGAACUGCUUUUGAAACUGUGCAGCUGGAGUGCAGGAGAGGUAAGCGGAAUUCCUAGUGUAGCGGU